rnacentral:rRNA from 1 species
CCCUAUGGGGUGCACCAGGUACUCACCGCCGGCCCGUUCGCCUGCCCACAAGAACGCUGUCCCGUAGCGCACAUGGAAGGCAACAAUGGACUGGAGCGCCGCGUGCGGCUUCAUCUCUGAUCUGUAUCGGCCUUGCCGCACAUCAUCGAGGGAGCAUUCCACAACCACGCAAAAGACUUCAUAAGCCCGGCCUCGGGCGAGCUCGCGCUCAAAUCGGUUCCUAUUGCUGCCCUUGAGACAGCCCACCAGGUCAUCAAUGCUCUUUCUUUCAAUGGCAAUGCAGGAUUCGAAGCCCGGCAAGCUGUAAUCACCCGAGGCGAGUCCGGCCCGUUCAAUGGUCACGUCCUGGUAGCGGGCGAAUGAAUUGGCGGGAGAGC